UAAUACAGAGGUGGCAAGCGUUGUUCGGAAUUACUGGGCGUAAAGGGCGCGUAGGCGGCCUUCUAAGUCAGACGUGAAAUCCCCAGGCUUAACUUGGGAACUGCGUCUGAUACUGGAAGGCUUGAGUGCGGGAGAGGGAUGUGGAAUUCCAGGUGUAGCGGUGAAAUGCGUAGAUAUCUGGAGGAACACCGGUGGCGAAGGCGGCAUCCUGGACCGACACUGACGCUGAGGCGCGAAAGCCAGGGGAGCAAACGGGAUUAGAUACCCCGGUAGUCCUGGCCCUAAACGAUGAGUGCUUGGUGUGGCGGGUAUCGAUCCCUGCCGUGCCGAAGCUAACGCAUUAAGCACUCCGCCUGGGGAGUACGGUCGCAAGGCUG
rnacentral:rRNA from 1 species